rnacentral:rRNA from 1 species
GUGACAUGAGGUGCAGCGGCAGGGGGAGUAGGGAGGGGGCAAGGGUGGGCCGGAGUUACUGGGUGGGAAGGGCGCGUAUGUGGAUUAGGAAGUAAUGGGUUAAAGCGUGCGGCUGAACUGCAUUGAUGCCAGUGAUACUGUUAGUCUAGAGUUCAGUAGGGAGAGUUGGAAUUGCUGGUGUAGUAGUGAGAUACGCAGAUAUCAGGAAGAAUACCGGAGGCGAAGGCGAGCUCUUGGGCUGAUACUGACGCUGAGGCGCGAAAGUGUGGGGAUCAAACAGGAUUAGAUACCCGAGUAGUC